AUCAAUUACAGGAUGUUCCACAGAUGGUUAAAACCUAAAGUAAUCUGUCCAAAUAAUUUAAAACACCUUUCUGUUUUUCAGCGUGUAAGCUUGCUUGAGUUUCCAUCUUGCUUAAGGGGAAGCCUCCUACAAAGAAAUAUUCAUUUUGUGCCUACAUAACAAGCCUAACUAGAAACAGCCAUUCAGUGGCAGCCAAAGAGCACGUUCCUUGAAUAUUCAUGGCACAGAAGAUGUGAAAUGUACAACCUGGGGUACUGGGAACCAACAGACACUACACAGUUGUUCCUGAAGUUCAGCUGCUAUUCCCAGGUAUUGGCUAAUUAGUCCAAUAAUAUAAAUUACUACCUUUCUAAUUUUGUUUUAAAUUGCAUGAAUUUGCCAAGUUAAAAAUGUUAAUUGUGUUUAAUGCAGAUGUGCUUCCCCAGUUGGUGAAAGACAUCAGGCGGUUAAUAGCAUAUGGUUUUUCUCAUCUAUAAAUCGUGGCUUUCACAUGCUUUGCUCUGUGAUGGGUCUUUGUAAGGUAAAUAUGGAACUAAUUUGCAAAUCUGAUUGCUGAGAAAUUAUGCUAUGGGAAGGAAAACAGAUUAAUCGCAGGGAAAAGGUGUUCUUCUUAACAUCUGGUAUGACUCAAAGUCUUCUGAAUAAUGGCUUGCUUUUGAAAGAGACAUUUACAGCAAAACUUGUUACAAGUUGGACUGGGUGAGAAUUUUGUUUUAGAUCACUUUUUUUAGGAUAUUGCCAAAUUCAUAUUUCAUCAUAUUUAGGAUGAGAAGAUGAGAUUCUGAACACAAUGUAGAAGAAACUAAAAACUGAGUGAAUCAUUUAUCUAGAUCUAAAUCUUUUAAUGCUUAAUUCUUAGAUGUCUAAGUUUGAAUUCCCCUUAACAUCUCAUUUGGCUUUUUUUAUUGUUGUUGUUAGCAUCCCACCUUUGGUUUAAGCCACUUUUACUGUUUCUACUUUAACGUCCUUUGGCACAGUACUGAAUUUAGCACAGGGAAGUAAAAGAGAACUCUUCAGUGGCAGGUUUAGCUUUCUGAGUCUUGUAAUGAGAUGGAAAUCACUGACAAGAAGCAAAGAAAUGCCAUAGGCAAAAUAGGGGGACAGAAUGGCUAAGCUGGGAGGGUGUUAAAAACACCUGGAAAGAAUUGCUAUCUUAAAACAAGCAGAACAAAGUAGUGGCAGAUGUCAAACAGUUGUGCCAGAUUGUGGUUAUUUAAGCAAACUACUUGGCAUGCUGAGCCAUUGCUAUAAGACAUGUUGCAAGGGUAUAUGUGGAGGAAACGUCCUUUUUGAGUCAUGAUUACUUGUUUCAGAGCUUGCUGUUCAUUAUAUUAAGCUAAGGCUUAAAUAAUAAUAUAAAUUUGCAAUAAAUUGCUUCAGGAAACUCA
rnacentral:lncRNA from 1 species